UACUCAACUAUUCACAAAUAUUCUUGUCAUCCUAAUUUCUAAAUCACUUACUCAAAUCUACAGUAUUUCUUGAAUAAAUGAAAACUUUCCAAAAAUAGCAAAUUUUAAAAAAAUUAUUUAAAACUACAACAUAUUGAUGAAAAACUCAGAAAAAAUACUCAUCUAUCUACAAAUAUUCUUGUUUUUCUAAUUUCUAAAUCACAAACUCUAAUCUACAGUAUUUCUCUAGUAAAUGAAAUCUUUCCUAAAAUAUCAGUUUUUAAACCAUUAUUCAAAAAUACAACCUAUUCAUGAAAAACUCAGAAAAAAUACUCAACUAUCCACAAAUAUUCUUGUUAUCCGAAUUUCUAAAUAACAAACCCAAAUCUACAAUAUUAUUCAAAAAAAAUGAAAACUUUCCAAAAAUAGCAAUUUUAAAGAAAAUUAUUUAAAAAUACAACCUACUGAUGAAAAAUACAGAAAAAAUACUAAACUAUCCACAAAUAUUCUUGUUAUCUUAAUUUCUAAAUCAUAAACUUAUAUCUACAUUAUUUCUCAAAAAAAUGAAAACUUUCCAAAAAUAACAGUUUUUAGGAAAAUUAUUUAAAAAUACAAAUUAUUUAUGAAAAACUCAGAAAAAAUACUCAACUAUCCACAAAUAUUUUUGUUAUCCGAAUUUCCAAAUCACAAACUCUAAUCUACAGUAUUUCUCUAGUAAAUGAAAACUUUCCUAAAAUAGCAGUUUUUAAAACAAUUAUUUAAAAAUACAACCUAUUCAUGAAAAACUCAGAAAAAAUACUCAACUAUCCACAAAUAUUCUUGUUAUCCGAAUUUCUAAAUAACAAACUCAAAUCUACAAUAUUCCUAAAAAAAUGAAAACUUUCCAAAAAUAGCAUUUUUUAAGAAAAUUAUUUAAAAAUACAAGCUAGUGAUGAAAAACUCUGAAAAAAUACUCAAUUAUUCACAAAUAUUCUUGUCAUCCUAAUUUCUAAAUCACAAACUC